CGGAAAUGAGAGAGCGGCGUACGGGUGCGGAACACGCGUGCAAUCUGCCUUUAUCUGGGGGAUAGCCUUUCGAAAGGAAGAUUAAUACUCCAUAAUAUAUUGAACGGCAUCGUUUAAUAUUGAAAGCUCCGGCGGAUAGAGAUGGGCACGCGCAAGAUUAGCUAGUUGGUGAGGUAACGGCUCACCAAGGCAAUGAUCUUUAGGGGGCCUGAGAGGGUGAUCCCCCACACUGGUACUGAGACACGGACCAGACUCCUACGGGAGGCAGCAGUGAGGAAUAUUGGUCAAUGGGUGCAAGCCUGAACCAGCCAUCCCGCGUGAAGGACGACUGCCCUAUGGGUUGUAAACUUCUUUUGUAUAGGGAUAAACCUACCCUCGUGAGGGUAGCUGAAGGUACUAUACGAAUAAGCACCGGCUAACUCCGUGCCAGCAGCCGCGGUAAUACGGAGGGUGCAAGCGUUAUCCGGAUUUAUUGGGUUUAAAGGGUCCGUAGGCGGACUUAUAAGUCAGUGGUGAAAGCCUGUCGCUUAACGAUAGAACUGCCAUUGAUACUGUAAGUCUUGAGUAUAUUUGAGGUAGCUGGAAUAAGUAGUGUAGCGGUGAAAUGCAUAGAUAUUACUUAGAACACCAAUUGCGAAGG
rnacentral:rRNA from 1 species